GUAUCAAAGCUCCGGCGGUACAGGAUGGACCCGCGUCUGAUUAGCUAGUUGGUGAGGUAACGGCUCACCAAGGCGACGAUCAGUAGCCGACCUGAGAGGGUGAUCGGCCACAUUGGAACUGAGACACGGUCCAAACUCCUACGGGAGGCAGCAGUGGGGAAUAUUGCACAAUGGGCGAAAGCCUGAUGCAGCAACGCCGCGUGAGCGAAGAGGGCCUUCGGGUCGUAAAGCUCUGUCCUCAAGGAAGAUAAUGAC
rnacentral:rRNA from 1 species